rnacentral:rRNA from 3 species
GGGUUGUGAGGUUAAGCGACUAAGCGUACACGGUGGAUGCCCUGGCAGUCAGAGGCGAUGAAGGACGUGCUAAUCUGCGAAAAGCGUCGGUAAGGUGAUAUGAACCGUUAUAACCGGCGAUGUCCGAAUGGGGAAACCCAGUGCAAUUCGUUGCACUAUCGUUAACUGAAUACAUAGGUUAACGAGGCGAACCGGGGGAACUGAAACAUCUAAGUACCCCGAGGAAAAGAAAUCAACCGAGAUUCCCCCAGUAGCGGCGAGCGAACGGGGAGCAGCCCAGAGUCUGAAUCAGCUUGUGUGUUAGUGGAACGGUCUGGAAAGUCCGACGGUACAGGGUGAUAGUCCCGUACACCAAAAUGCACAGGCUGUGAACUCGAAGAGUAGGGCGGGACACGUGGUAUCCUGUCUGAAUAUGGGGGGACCAUCCUCCAAGGCUAAAUACUCCUGACUGACCGAUAGUGAACCAGUACCGUGAGGGAAAGGCGAAAAGAACCCCGGCGAGGGGAGUGAAAAAGAACCUGAAACCGUGUACGUACAAGCAGUGGGAGCACCUUCGGGUGUGACUGCGUACCUUUUGUAUAAUGGGUCAGCGACUUAUAUUCUGUAGCAAGGUUAACCGUAUAGGGGAGCCGCAGGGAAACCGAGUCUUAACUGGGCGUUAAGUUGCAGGGUAUAGACCCGAAACCCGGUGAUCUAGCCAUGGGCAGGUUGAAGGUUGGGUAACACUAACUGGAGGACCGAACCGACUAAUGUUGAAAAAUUAGCGGAUGACUUGUGGCUGGGGGUGAAAGGCCAAUCAAACCGGGAGAUAGCUGGUUCUCCCCGAAAGCUAUUUAGGUAGCGCCUCGUGAACUCAUCUUCGGGGGUAGAGCACUGUUUCGGCUAGGGGGUCAUCCCGACUUACCAACCCGAUGCAAACUACGAAUACCGAAGAAUGUUAUCACGGGAGACACACGGCGGGUGCUAACGUCCGUCGUGAAGAGGGAAACAACCCAGACCGCCAGCUAAGGUCCCAAAGUCAUGGUUAAGUGGGAAACGAUGUGGGAAGGCACAGACAGCCAGGAUGUUGGCUUAGAAGCAGCCAUCAUUUAAAGAAAGCGUAAUAGCUCACUGGUCGAGUCGGCCUGCGCGGAAGAUGUAACGGGGCUAAACCAUGCACCGAAGCUGCGGCAGCGACACUAUGUGUUGUUGGGUAGGGGAGCGUUCUGUAAGCCUGCGAAGGUGUGCUGUGAGGCAUGCUGGAGGUAUCAGAAGUGCGAAUGCUGACAUAAGUAACGAUAAAGCGGGUGAAAAGCCCGCUCGCCGGAAGACCAAGGGUUCCUGUCCAACGUUAAUCGGGGCAGGGUGAGUCGACCCCUAAGGCGAGGCCGAAAGGCGUAGUCGAUGGGAAACAGGUUAAUAUUCCUGUACUUGGUGUUACUGCGAAGGGGGGACGGAGAAGGCUAUGUUAGCCGGGCGACGGUUGUCCCGGUUUAAGCAUGUAGGCUGGUUAUCCAGGCAAAUCCGGAUAAUCAAGGCUGAGGUGUGAUGACGAGGCACUACGGUGCUGAAGUAACAAAUGCCCUGCUUCCAGGAAAAGCCUCUAAGCAUCAGGUAACAUCAAAUCGUACCCCAAACCGACACAGGUGGUCAGGUAGAGAAUACCAAGGCGCUUGAGAGAACUCGGGUGAAGGAACUAGGCAAAAUGGUGCCGUAACUUCGGGAGAAGGCACGCUGGUGUGUAGGUGAAGUCCCUGCGGAUGGAGCUGAGACCAGUCGAAGAUACCAGCUGGCUGCAACUGUUUAUUAAAAACACAGCACUGUGCAAACACGAAAGUGGACGUAUACGGUGUGACGCCUGCCCGGUGCCGGAAGGUUAAUUGAUGGGGUUAUCCGUAAGGAGAAGCUCUUGAUCGAAGCCCCGGUAAACGGCGGCCGUAACUAUAACGGUCCUAAGGUAGCGAAAUUCCUUGUCGGGUAAGUUCCGACCUGCACGAAUGGCGUAAUGAUGGCCAGGCUGUCUCCACCCGAGACUCAGUGAAAUUGAACUCGCUGUGAAGAUGCAGUGUACCCGCGGCAAGACGGAAAGACCCCGUGAACCUUUACUAUAGCUUGACACUGAACAUUGAGCCUUGAUGUGUAGGAUAGGUGGGAGGCUUUGAAGCGUGGACGCCAGUCUGCGUGGAGCCAACCUUGAAAUACCACCCUUUAAUGUUUGAUGUUCUAACGUUGGCCCCUGACCGGGGUUGCGGACAGUGUCUGGUGGGUAGUUUGACUGGGGCGGUCUCCUCCCAAAGCGUAACGGAGGAGCACGAAGGUUAGCUAAUCCUGGUCGGACAUCAGGAGGUUAGUGCAAUGGCAUAAGCUAGCUUGACUGCGAGCGUGACGGCGCGAGCAGGUGCGAAAGCAGGUCAUAGUGAUCCGGUGGUUCUGAAUGGAAGGGCCAUCGCUCAACGGAUAAAAGGUACUCCGGGGAUAACAGGCUGAUACCGCCCAAGAGUUCAUAUCGACGGCGGUGUUUGGCACCUCGAUGUCGGCUCAUCACAUCCUGGGGCUGAAGUAGGUCCCAAGGGUAUGGCUGUUCGCCAUUUAAAGUGGUACGCGAGCUGGGUUUAGAACGUCGUGAGACAGUUCGGUCCCUAUCUGCCGUGGGCGCUGGAGAAUUGAGGGGGGCUGCUCCUAGUACGAGAGGACCGGAGUGGACGCAUCACUGGUGUUCGGGUUGUCAUGCCAAUGGCACUGCCCGGUAGCUAAAUGCGGAAGAGAUAAGUGCUGAAAGCAUCUAAGCACGAAACUUGCCCCGAGAUGAGUUCUCCCUGAGACUAUAAGUCUCCUGAAGGAACGUUAAAGACGAUGACGUUGAUAGGCCGGGUGUGUAAGCGCAGCGAUGCGUUGAGCUAACCGGUACUAAUGAACCGUGAGGCUUAACCUUACAACGCCGAAG